rnacentral:lncRNA from 1 species
CCUAUUUUUAUUUGUUGUGCUGUUGAUAUUAAAUUGUUUUUCUAAUACUUAAUUAUUACUUUUUAUCUUUUUAUUAUAUUUUAACUAGAAACACAACAAUUACAAUAUGUACAACAACAACCACAAUCAGUGAACUUUCAACAAAUGUUUCUGCAAUCUAUGGAAGAAAUGUUUAAUAAUUUUUUAAAGAAGAUGGAGGAGCAAUCCUGUAUGAAAAUAUCUUUUACUUUAUAAAUUUAUAACUUGGUUCUUUCCAAAAAAUAAUUGAUUUAUGCAUACAUAUGGUGGUGGUAUACACAUCACCAUAUUAUGUAAACAUAUUGUUUUAUUUAAACAUAUAAAAGAAUUUAGUUUUUUUUAUUGUAAAGUUUCUUAUGUAUUAUGAAAUCAUAGAUUUUUUGAUUAUAUAUAGCCCAACACCAUCAUUGUCAAUGGCAGCAGCUGCCACAAGUCUUGCAACAAAAACAACAACAACAACAACAGCAUCAUCAUUAUCAUCUGCUACAAGUGCAGCUGCUGCUGAUUUGUGAUAUGAGGCUUUUAUAGCCUACAGGAGGAAUCAACCAGGACCCAUAUCCUACAGGGCCCAUAGGAUAUGGGUCUCAAUUAAUGGGGCAGAUCUCCCCUCUUUUCGUUUGGGGUGAAGGAGAAGAAAGGGGAGGGGGUGGGAGGGGGUGUUAC